AGGAGUGCUGGAUGGGUUUUCUCCUGAACAGGUUCUGCAAUGCAACACGAGGAAGAAUGUGUUGAGCUUGCGAAGCAGUUAAAGCGAAGAAGAGGAUAAUGACAAUGGCGUUGAGUCGUUAAGUGAGGUAGAAGAAUGCAUCUUGAUCGCAGUUGGAUCGAUGGGGAUAAAUAUUGCACUGCAUGGUUGUGGAGCAACCAGCUAGCGGCCUACCAGAAGACUUCGCAGGUGCUACAAGUUUUUCUUAGGGUAAGUGAGAUACCUGUAGGACAAAGAUUGACAUUAUAAGUCAAUAAAAAGGAUGCGAAGAAGGCACAAAUGACGUUUGAAUUAAGCAUUCAUCUGGCUCUCUGCUGAAUAUUCUUGAUCGAAGUGUCCCCAACAUGCUUCGGAAAAUGCUUUGUUUGCAGAUUUUGACUUGCUCUUCCCCAUCAUGGUUGCUUCUGUAAAUUAAUACUGCAUUAAUUCUGUAUGCUUUGCCUGCACUAGGCUAGGGAGUGUCCAGUUGUGAUGGAGUGUUAAGAGUGAUGAUUCUAUUGGGUUCCUGGGAUCAUUACACGCUGUGAAAAUAAUAAAUUUAAGGUGAUAUUUAUGAGUUUUU
rnacentral:lncRNA from 1 species